rnacentral:rRNA from 2 species
CUUGAGUGCAGAAGAGGAGAGUGGAAUUCCACGUGUAGCGGUGAAAUGCGUAGAGAUGUGGAGGAACACCAGUGGCGAAGGCGACUCUCUGGUCUGUAACUGACGCUGAGGAGCGAAAGCGUGGGGAGCGAACAGGAUUAGAUACCCUGGUAGUCCACGCCGUAAACGAUGAGUGCUAAGUGUUAGGGGGUUUCCGCCCCUUAGUGCUGCAGCUAACGCAUUAAGCACUCCGCCUGGGGAGUACGGUCGCAAGACUGAAACUCAAAGGAAUUGACGGGGGCCCGCACAAGCGGUGGAGCAUGUGGUUUAAUUCGAAGCAACGCGAAGAACCUUACCAGGUCUUGACAUCCUCUGACAAUCCUAGAGAUAGGACGUCCCCUUCGGGGGCAGAGUGACAGGUGGUGCAUGGUUGUCGUCAGCUCGUGUCGUGAGAUGUUGGGUUAAGUCCCGCAACGAGCGCAACCCUUGAUCUUAGUUGCCAGCAUUCAGUUGGGCACUCUAAGGUGACUGCCGGUGACAAACCGGAGGAAGGUGGGGAUGACGUCAAAUCAUCAUGCCCCUUAUGACCUGGGCUACACACGUGCUACAAUGGACAGAACAAAGGGCAGCGAAACCGCGAGGUUAAGCCAAUCCCACAAAUCUGUUCUCAGUUCGGAUCGCAGUCUGCAACUCGACUGCGUGAAGCGGAAUCGCUAGUAAUCGCGGAUCA